CGCUGGCGGCGUGCCUAAUACAUGCAAGUCGAACGAACUCUGGUAUUGAUUGGUGCUUGCAUCAUGAUUUACAUUUGAGUGAGUGGCGAACUGGUGAGUAACACGUGGGAAACCUGCCCAGAAGCGGGGGAUAACACCUGGAAACAGAUGCUAAUACCGCAUAACAACUUGGACCGCAUGGUCCGAGCUUGAAAGAUGGCUUCGGCUAUCACUUUUGGAUGGUCCCGCGGCGUAUUAGCUAGAUGGUGGGGUAACGGCUCACCAUGGCAAUGAUACGUAGCCGACCUGAGAGGGUAAUCGGCCACAUUGGGACUGAGACACGGCCCAAACUCCUACGGGAGGCAGCAGUAGGGAAUCUUCCACAAUGGACGAAAGUCUGAUGGAGCAACGCCGCGUGAGUGAAGAAGGGUUUCGGCUCGUAAAACUCUGUUGUUAAAGAAGAACAUAUCUGAGAGUAACUGUUCAGGUAUUGACGGUAUUUAACCAGAAAGCCACGGCUAACUACGUGCCAGCAGCCGCGGUAAUACGUAGGUGGCAAGCGUUGUCCGGAUUUAUUGGGCGUAAAGCGAGCGCAGGCGGUUUUUUAAGUCUGAUGUGAAAGCCUUCGGCUCAACCGAAGAAGUGCAUCGGAAACUGGGAAACUUGAGUGCAGAAGAGGACAGUGGAACUCCAUGUGUAGCGGUGAAAUGCGUAGAUAUAUGGAAGAACACCAGUGGCGAAGGCGGCUGUCUGGUCUGUAACUGACGCUGAGGCUCGAAAGUAUGGGUAGCAAACAGGAUUAGAUACCCUGGUAGUCCAUACCGUAAACGAUGAAUGCUAAGUGUUGGAGGGUUUCCGCCCUUCAGUGCUGCAGCUAACGCAUUAAGCAUUCCGCCUGGGGAGUACGGCCGCAAGGCUGAAACUCAAAGGAAUUGACGGGGGCCCGCACAAGCGGUGGAGCAUGUGGUUUAAUUCGAAGCUACGCGAAGAACCUUACCAGGUCUUGACAUACUAUGCAAAUCUAAGAGAUUAGACGUUCCCUUCGGGGACAUGGAUACAGGUGGUGCAUGGUUGUCGUCAGCUCGUGUCGUGAGAUGUUGGGUUAAGUCCCGCAACGAGCGCAACCCUUAUUAUCAGUUGCCAGCAUUAAGUUGGGCACUCUGGUGAGACUGCCGGUGACAAACCGGAGGAAGGUGGGGAUGACGUCAAAUCAUCAUGCCCCUUAUGACCUGGGCUACACACGUGCUACAAUGGAUGGUACAACGAGUUGCGAACUCGCGAGAGUAAGCUAAUCUCUUAAAGCCAUUCUCAGUUCGGAUUGUAGGCUGCAACUCGCCUACAUGAAGUCGGAAUCGCUAGUAAUCGCGGAUCAGCAUGCCGCGGUGAAUACGUUCCCGGGCCUUGUACACACCGCCCGUCACACCAUGAGAGUUUGUAACACCCAAAGUCGGUGGGGUAACCUUUUAGGAACCAGCCGCCUAAGGUGGGACAGAUGAUUAG
rnacentral:rRNA from 2 species